GGGGCGUAGUUAGGGUAUGAGAGGAGUAAGGAGACACUGUAUGGUGCCUACAAAAAGUAUUUUUUUUUCGAUAAAAAGACACAAGCAGGUUGAAAGUAAGAGCUAUGAAAGGCGGUACCAUGCUGCCAUAGAGCCAGAGAAGGUGCUGGGCAGAGGCAUAGUCGGUGUUGUAUGGUAAAGAAAGUCCUCUAAUGCCAUGUGAGGGCCCAUGGGGAGAACAGAUGGGUUAGGAGUGUAGCUCCCUGACACAGCCAGGCUGCAGUAGAGACUUGAGUGUUGCCUUGAUAAGGAACAGAAUGUGUCAGUAAGUGAAGAAAAGAUGUAGCGCUGUCUACUGUGGAUGCUCCACCAGGGAGGGCAUUCUUCCCAUGUAAUAGGCCACCUCCCAGGCUGAGCAUGCACUAUAGCCAGUCAGAGGCAUUGACUCACAGUGUGCCCUACAGCUGCAGUGGGGUGGCACUCUAAACCAACGUGCAUGUGUGUGUUCAUGCAUAUGUGUAUGUGUGUACAUACAUACAUGCAGAGGCCAGAUGUCAACAUGGUGUGGGGUUUUAUUUUGGUUUUUUUUUUUUUUUUUCAAUCACUGUCAUUUCUCACUAAACCUGAAACUCACCGAUUAGCUGUACUGGCUGGCCAGCAAGGCCUCAGGAUCACCCAGUCUCUGUCCCUCCCUCCUCACAUACCUCGCUAUAUGCUGGGACACUUGUGUGAGGGCUUGAGAUCCGAACUCAAGUCCUCAUGCUUGUGUAGUAGCAAGCACUUGACUAAGCAGGCCAGCUCUCCAUUCCCUAAGAAAACCUUAAAGUAGAAAACAUGUAAGACAAGCGUGUAAUAUACAAUACUAUAAUCAUAAAUAACACAUUCACUAAAGUAUUAAAAAUACGUAUAAUUUAAUAGAAUGCACAUAAAUAUAACUAUUAACCUUUAUAGAAGCUUUUCAAACAGGAAGUUUGGUUUGGGUUUUUUGUUUUGUUUGUUUUAUGGUGGGUCUCACUACAGUAGCCCUAGUUGGCCAUGGACUGACUCACUGCAUGGACAGGCAGGCCUCAAAAAGAAGAAAUGUUUCUUUUCUAUCAAAUAAAAACUGAAUAGUGUUUGGAACACAGCUAGGCAGUGCAGAGGGCCCCUGCCUGUGUGUGUUAGGAUCCUGGCCUCAGCUUCUCCCUGAGACGUUAGUGAAAGAACACAGGAGAUGAGGAGACUGAAGAUGGGAGAGACAGAACAGGGAGAAAAUGGCCAGCCCAUGGCGGCUGAGCCCCGGCUGGUUAAACACACUGGUAAGUGAGGAACCAUCACCCAGACUGGGAAAGAAACAUGGAGAGGGUUCUGGAACCUGGACCAGCAGGUGAUACCACUGAUGGUUUUAAAAGGAUGGGAGGUAAAUAUUGUGAAUGACCUCGACAGAUGUUCCUCACUGACAGGGGAGACUUGCUGAAGAGAAAACAGAUGAGCUCAGUAGCUCUGUAUCAAAGAACACAAGUCCGGAUGGUUUCCAUGGAAAAUUCUUCUGAACAUUAAGGCGGAGGCACAUGGGUAGCAGUACACCCUCUCUCUAUUGCUUCAUGAGAUAAGUAACACUCUGGUACCAAAACAAGAACCAGACAAACACAACAUAAGGAACCCUCAUGAAUACACACGCAACCGCGAGGCUGGGGAUAGAGCUCAGUUACUCAGGUGCUUACCGUGAGAGCAUGACUACAUGAAUUUGACCCCCAGCAUCCACAUAAAAGCCGAGAGCACCCUUGGUUUCAGCACUGAUGGCCUCAGGCAGGUAGGUCCCUGUCCCUGGGGCUCCAGCCAGUUUGGGCUCUCCAGGAUCAGUGAGAAACCAAAUUCAAAAGCAGUAAGGUGGAGUGACCAAAAGACACCUGAUGUCAGCCUUUAUAACCAUAACAGUUAUAAAGUUGUGAAGUAUCGUUGAAAACAGUCGUAUGGUUGGGGUCACCACAACAUGAGGAACUGUAUAAAAAGGGCCACAGCUUCAGGAAGGCUGAGAACCGCUGCUCUAGAAUCAAAAGGGAGAGCGGCUCAGUGGGGGCCCCCGCAUUCAGCAGCUAUGGAAGAUCUAGGCAUUGUCUUGAGGACAUUAGUCGUUGGGAACAGCACCACUCCUGCAGUGUCCUUCUCGGGCCUGGGGCCUGUGUGUAUAAGAGUGUGCUGUGAGCUGAGUAAUGAGCGUGCACAUGCAUUCUCUCUCCGCUCCUGGUGGUGAUGUGAUUGGCUGCUUCAGUGCCUGCUUGACCUCCCACAAUAAUAGAUUGCACCCUGAGAUUGUAAGCCAAACAAAUCCUUUCCCAUACAUUGCUUUGUCAGAGUGUUUAGUCACAGCAUCAGAAAGGAAACUAAGACAACGAUUAAAAGUUCUAUU
rnacentral:lncRNA from 1 species